GCCUGGCUGGCUCAGUUGGUUGAGCGUCUGACUUCGGCUCAGGUCAUGAUCUCACAGGUCGUGGGUUCGAGCCCCGCGUCGGGCU
rfam:Felis catus isolate Cinnamon breed Abyssinian chromosome C1, whole genome shotgun sequence.